rnacentral:rRNA from 1 species
AGAACGAACGCUGGCGGCAUGCCUAAUACAUGCAAGUCGAACGAACACUUCGGUGUUAGUGGCGCACGGGUGCGUAACGCGUGGGAAUCUGCCCUUGGGUUCGGAAUAACAGUUGGAAACGACUGCUAAUACCGGAUGAUAUCGAAAGAUCAAAGAUUUAUCGCCCAGGGAUGAGCCCGCGUAGGAUUAGCUAGUUGGUGAGGUAAAGGCUCACCAAGGCGACGAUCCUUAGCUGGUCUGAGAGGAUGAUCAGCCACACUGGGACUGAGACACGGCCCAGACUCCUACGGGAGCAGCAGUAGGGAAUAUGGACAAUGGGCGCAAGCCUGAUCCAGCAAUGCCGCGUGAGUGAUGAAGGCCUUAAGGGUUGUAAAGCUCUUUUACCCGAGAUGAUAAUGACAGUAUCGGGAAGAAUAAGCCCCGGACUAACUCCCGCGCCAGCAAGCCGC